CAGCCGCCGCGGUAAUACGAAGGGGGCUAGCGUUGUUCGGAAUCACUGGGCGUAAAGCGCACGUAGGCGGACUUUUAAGUCAGAGGUGAAAUCCCAAGGCUCAACCUUGGAACUGCCUUUGAUACUGGGAGUCUUGAGUUCGGGAGAGGUGAGUGGAACUGCGAGUGUAGAGGUGAAAUUCGUAGAUAUUCGCAAGAACACCAGUGGCGAAGGCGGCUCACUGGCCCGAUACUGACGCUGAGGUGCGAAAGCGUGGGGAGCAAACAGGAUUAGAUACCCCGGUAGUCCCUGUCUCUUAUAC
rnacentral:rRNA from 1 species